CUGCGCCUACGGGACGCAGCAGUAGGGAAUUUUCGUCAAUGGGCGCAAGCCUGAACGAGCAAUGCCGCGUGAAGGAAGAAGGCUUUCGGGUUGUAAACUUCUUUUCUCAGGGACGAAGAAAGUGACGGUACCUGAGGAAUAAGCCACGGCUAACUACGUGCCAGCAGCCGCGGUAAUACGUAGGUGGCGAGCGUUAUCCGGAAUGAUUGGGCGUAAAGGGUGCGCAGGCGGUCCUGCAAGUCUGGAGUGAAACGCAUGAGCUCAACUCAUGCAUGGCUUUGGAAACUGGAGGACUGGAGAGCAGG
rnacentral:rRNA from 1 species